AAGUAAUAGGGAGAUCGAUUAUGAUUGUCAGACCUGAAAUAAAUUUAAGAAUGGAGAAGAACAUAAUAUAUUAUACAAUUGUAACAGGAGCGACGUCAAAAGAUUCAGUAGCUCAUGUAAAAAGAGAAAUGACGCAAUAGAAAGGCUAAACUUGCUAACAAGAGGUAACCUGGCAUAUUUGAUAAGGAAAUAUAAUGUUGACAAGAAAAGAGAUGGGUUUGAUAUGGUAGCCACUGCUUUGAAAAUUAAUGAAUGGAAUAGCCAAGGGAAAAAUUAUGCAUUUGUUUUCAAGAGAAUUGGGGAUUCUUAUCCGGGACUGAACAAUUUUGCUACAUGAAUUGAAUUAUGGAGAAGAAAUUAAAAUAAUUUAAAAGGAUUAUUGUAUAGAUGGAACAAAUAUGAAUUGUUGUUAUGGCAUGGCUAUAUUUUAUCUUUAGCGCCGAAAACCUAACUGAAUUGCUUCAAAAUGGAGAUGGAAUGAUAAGGGACUAUAUAUUCUGGUACUACAGAAAAAAUCUGUUGAAUGGAAGAUGAUAAUGCUAGCUAAAGAAGUGCUAAUCUACAGACCAAGCAUGAUGGAUUUAGUUUCUUCUCUACGGUUUUAGUUUUAAGAUGUUGAUAUUAUAUAAUACUUUUGUCAUAGUGUUACCUAGUGUCGAUAGUAUAGUUUAUUUUAAAAAUUAUUAUUAUAAAAUA